CAGACACUGACAUUUAUACAGCCACAGGACGUGCACAGAUAGAAUAUCCAUCUAUUCCGAUCAAGGAGGAACCAGCCUCGUGUGACGAAGGAAGUCUAUCAGACACUGACAUUUAUACAGCCACAGGAUGUUCACAAAUUGAAUAUCCAUCUAUUCCGAUCAAGGAGGAACCAGCCUCGGGUGAAGAAGGAAGUCUAUCAGACACUGAUAUUUAUACAGCCACAGGACGUGCACAGAUAGAAUAUCCAUCUAUUCAGAUCAAGGAGGAACCAGCCUCGGGUGAAGAAGGAAGUCUAUCAGACACUGACAUUUAUACAAACACAGAACGUACACAGACUCAAUAUCCAUCUACUUAUAUUAAGGAGGAAUCACCGGUGUGUGAAGGUGGACGUAUAACAAAUGUUAAUACCUAUACACCCGCAGAAUGUAAACCUCCAAUCAAGGAAGAAUCUUUUUUAUGUAAAAAAGAUAUUUGCACAGACAGUUCUGAACCCCUGGAACUCACAGACACAGGAUACACACUCCUUGUUAUAAAGGAUGAACUAAUCUCACAGGAAGAAGAAGAUAUUACACCCAUAGCAAAUAACUUGAUAGAUUCAGAGGCAACCUCAUCUGAGAAAAGGGAUUUCAUAGAUGGUUGUAUUGCUACAGAAUAUGCAUCAACGGGAAGUAAAUCCACACAUGCCAACGGAUUCUAUAAUGAAGGUAAUAACAUUCAAAAAACAAAUAGAUUAACCCCGAUGCAGAACAAUGAAUAUAGUAACAAUAAUAAUAACAAUUUGCCUAAGCGGAAGAAACCAUUUUCAUGUCCAGAAUGUGGAAAAUGUUUCACUUGUAAAUCAAAUCUUGGCACACAUAUAAGAAUUCAUAAAGGUGAUAAACCAUUCUCCUGCUCUAAAUGUGGAAAACGGUUUACUCAGAGCUCUGCACUUUUUGCGCAUCAGAGAAUUCAUACCGGGGAGAAACCAUUUUCAUGCACUGAAUGUGGAAAAAGAUUUACGAAGAAUACAAAUCUUGUUACCCAUCAGAGGAUCCACACAGGAGAGAAGCCAUUCAGAUGUUCUGAAUGUGGGAAAUGUUUUACUCGGAAAUUCUCUCUAGUUGCACACCAGAGGACUCACAAUGGAGAGAAACCAUUUUCUUGUUCCGAAUGUGGGAAAUGUUUUACAGGUCGAACAGCUCUUGUUACACAUAAACGAAUUCACACAGGAGAAAAACCAUUCUUGUGUUCUAAAUGUGGGAAGUGCUUCACGCAACGUUCUGCUCUCGCUACGCAUCAAGUCUUACAUGUGAGAGACGCUAUUCAACUUUUAUAACUGGGGCAAAUGUGUAAAAUAAUAUGUAAACAAAUGUGUUAACAUGCACAAAACAGAGGUCAAUUUAUAUUCUGAGUAAGUUUACUAAUUUGUUUUAAUACAUUAUUGUUAUUUAUAUAGCGCCAUCAAAUUCUGCAGCGCUUUACAAUGGGUGGACGAACAGACAUGUAGUUCUAACCAGAAAAGUUGGACACACAAGAACAGAGGGGUUGAGGGCCCUGCACAAUGAGCUUACAUGCUAGAGGGCAGUGGCGCACAUACUGGGGUCGCAGGAGUCGCGGCUGCGACCGGGCCCGGCCCACCAGGGUGCCCGGCCGCCCCGCGACCCGGUAUGUACCCAGUGUGGUCAGCCUCAAGGCCCCCCUCUUCCCUGAGGGCUCUCUGCCCAGUUCCCUCGCGCACUGCACUGAUGCCGAAGCCAGAAGAUGACGUCAUAUUCUGGCUCCGGCAUCAGUACGCGGCGCGAGGGAGCUGGGCAGAGAGCACUCAGGGGAGAGUGCUCCCUCGCCCGCCCGCCAACCUGCCCGGUGACCGGCCGCCCAGGAGUACCACUGGACCCCAGGGAAUCCCCUCAGCACUCCCAAAGGUAGGGAGGCUGGGGGAUUAAAUUUUUUUUAAAAAGUGUGUGUGUUAGAGUGUGUGUUUUAGAGUGUGUUAGUGUUAGAGUGUGUGUGUGUGUUAGUGUUAGAGUGUGUGUUAGUGUUAGAGUGUGUGUGUUAGUGUUAGUUUUUUGUCAGUGUGUGUGUUAGUUUGUGUGUGUCAGUGAGUGUAUUACUGUGUGUGUGUGUUACUGAGUGUGUUAGUUUGUGUGCGUCUGUUAGUGAGUCUGUUUGGUGUCUGUUAGUGAGUGUGUGUUUUGUAAGUGAGUGUGUAUGUGUCUGUCUGUCAGUGAGUGUGUAUGUAUGUCUGUCACUGAGUGUGUGUCUGUCAGUAAAUGUGUGUGUCUGUUAGCUAGUGUGUAUGCGUCUGUUCGUGAGAGUGCGUGUGUGUGUCUGUUAUCUAGUGUGUAUGCGUCUGCUCGUGAGAGUGUGUGUGUGUCUUCAGCACUUACCUUUCUCCAGCGCCGGACUCCCUUGGCGCUGGGGAUCCCUCUGCCCCGAUCCCCUCUCAGCUCCAAAUGCGCAUGCGCGGCAAGAGCCGCGCGCGCAUUCAAACCGCCAAUAGGAAAGCAUCACUCAAUGCGGAAGCUCCUCUAGCGGCUGUCAAUGAGCCAGCCACUAGAGGCUGGAUUAACACUCAGUGAAACAUAGCAGUUUCUCUGAAACUGCUAUGUUUUCAGUGUGGCGGAACCAACCUCGCCACUAUGCACUGGAGAAGCCUGGUUGCCCGCCUGCUGCCUUUAGACUAUGGCCCCUGGGAGACUGUGAAAACUUAUGGACUUUUAUUGGGUGUGUAUGGCCCUUUAAGACAGUCGGUGGGCAUAUUGGGGCUUAUGGACUUUUUAUGGGACUGGUGCUGGCCCUUUAAGCACCUUUUUGGGGCAUAGGGAAGAUUGGGACACUGCCCCUUUAAGAUGGUGUCCCCAGACUUGUUUGGGACACUGCCCCUUUAAGACAGUGUCCCCUGUGCCCCAGACCUGGUUAAAACCCUUUGUGCCUAGCUAUUUCCCACUUGGUUCAGUAAAUGGGGCUUACUGAACCAAGUACCACACAGGCGGACCACCUGUAUUGGGAGUCUGUCGGCAAUUUACCUCCCAGAAGUUGCAGUUAACCGCAGCUUAAUUGACAAUGCUGGGUGGCCUUUGUUUGUUUGCCGAACACGUGGCGGCGGCCAUCUUUGUUCAUUCGCACGAGGUCAGCGGUAUGUGUAGCCAAAUUCAUGGAACUAAAAUCGGCUACACAUUUCCGCGAACACCGCUGAGCCCUACCUUCUCCCACAACGAUUUUGCAGCCGCAGAGACUAAGUCCCAUUCUGCGAUGGGACUUAGUUGUUUUUUCAGCCUGAAAUAGAGCGACCUCACAGCCCAAAUCUAUGGAACUGUUUUGGGCAGGAAAAUGUGCUUGCGGUCGGUCAUAAUGGGACCUCCAGCUAACUUUUUAACCCCUGGAUGGAUUUGGCUGAUUUUUGGUUAUAUAUAUAUAUUUGAAGGUUGCUGAUUCUAAACGGCGGUUUAACCCUUUUAUGCCUGGGGUGCCGUUACAUUCAGCUACAGGGUUAAAACUAGAGGGACCUGGCACCCAGACCACUUCAUUGAGUUGAUGUGAUCUGAGUGUCUGUAGUGGUCCUUUAAGUGUAUGUGUAUCUGCAUGCACUGGCCUACAUACCACGGUCACAGGGGUCGCAGGGCAGAGUAAGUUUUCGCACUGGGGUGCCUCAUGGGUUGUGUGUACGUUACUGCAAGAGGGAGUGGGGUAAACUUACACAAAAAGGUAAGGAUAGUAUUAGACUAGUGACAGUUGCAGAAGAGGAAUCAGUCGGGAGCUAGUAACAGUUUAAUUGAUACGCUUUUAUGAAGAAGUGGGUUUUAACGAUUUUUUGAAGGAGUGGAGACUGGGUGAGCAUCUAACGGAGGAGGGAAGAGAGUUCCACAGGAACGGUGCAGCCCUCGAGAAAUCUUGAAGGCGAGUAUCAGAGGAAGCUCACUUAGUUGCACCUGAAACUAGUAGCUGCCUUGGAUCAUUAUCCUUUCCAAGAAUCCUGGGUUACGGUUUUGAAGGCUGUAUGUACAGAGCCCCGUAUCAGUUCUAAAUGGCUUUCUCACUGUUAAGCAGAGAUUCUCAGUCCCUUGCUUUGAUCAUAAAAUGGUGGAGGCACGCUCUAAUUCACACCAUACCAAGUGGAUGGGCUGAGAGCAUCACCUUAACACUGAAACCUUGCUCCAACGCUGCCAUAUUGUAAUUGGAGGCCGAGUCAUUAUUUAGCAAUGAUGGGGGACCUGGCACACAUGAAUGUGAGAUACAAUAACCACUUCAAUCAGUCGAAAUGGUUAUGUUGCCUACAGAACUACUUUGCGUUUAGUUGCCCAGAAGAGAUUAGUUGCCCACUAACCGCUGAAUGGCAGUGAACUAAAAUCUGAAUAGGAAAACUAAUUAAAAUAGGCAAACUGUGCCUAUAAGAUAGUUGGGGAAUUUCUCCUGAUUAGCUGCUUUUAAAUUUAGAAUUUAGAGAAUAAACCCACCUAAAUCAUCAGUGUUACUGUGCAGUGGCAUAUUCAUUCAUCAUUCAAAAAUUAAUUUAGGAAAACACUCCAAGCACCUUAAAUACUCCAGAGCACUGUAGUGGCUAGGGUGCCACGAGUUCCCUUGAGGUCCCCUUACGUAAGUUGACAAACCAUUUGAUGUCUGACCUAGAGUGCUGCUUCCUGCCUCUUCCUUGUGGUAUUGAGAACCAGAAGCUCCUGCUUGGAGCUCCUGUACUUUGUCAUAAUUAACUAGCAACUUAGUCAGCUUUAAAGGCAAAAUGAGGUGAACUGUAUCUCGAGAAUGGUGGGUUACAUUUUGUUUGUGACUUUAGGAAAAUCGUCUGAAAUGGCCAGCAACUAAGACAUGUUUUAUUUUGCUGUUUGGAGAAAUUUACAGCAGGUAUCUGGUUGUUUGGUUAGGUGCUCUUUAUUACUUAUCAGAUAUGGCCCAAGCUGUCAGAAAGAGCUUGAGAAACAUCACUCUUGCGAUAUACAUUACAUGUUAAAUGAAGAGUCAUUCACGUCAAGUUCUGGAAGUGAUUUUAGAUGUAAUUUUCUUUUGAGUACAUUAUAUAUGAUAUAUAUAGCAUGUUUGUCACAAAUGAAUUGUCUGGAUUUACUAAGAUGAUCUGGUAUGGUUACAAAGACAUUAGGAGUAUCUGUACAUAAAUAUGUAGCACUGUACAUUUUCAUCCAGGUUUGGAAUACAAUAUUACCAUGAAAAAAAAUCCCUUAAGGGAGUAGAUGGCGUACUGGAAAGAUCUCUAGUGGGGAUAACCCACAAACAAACUACAUAGACAUUGAUAGUCUGAUGUACCAAACGAUAUAUAAGAUAUGGUCAUAUAUAUCUUUUGGUAUAUUAGACUAUCAGUGUCUUUGGAAAACAAUAUUCCUGCUCCACCCACGGCCCCUCCUUAGGAGUGCCACCCAAAAACACAAGAUGAGCCAAAAAGUGUAUAGAAUCUCAGAUGAAACCAAAAAAAAUUGUAAUCCAUUUUGAGAGCCACAUUAAAUUUGCAGUGGAUUACCAUUUUCUUACCAAAAGCUCUCUUUAAGACAGAAAUACUGGUACUUUGCUAGUAUGUAGGUAUUAAGGUUUUCUGUUCAUUUUUUCUUUUGUUUGUGUUGUGUAAUUUUUUUGUAAUGUUUUUAUUUGUAUGCACUGUAACAAAUUCAUAAUCAAUGUUCCUUUAUUAAGUUCUGCCUUUGUCUGGUAUAAGACUUACAUUACUGAAUUGACAUGGAUAUAGUACUGUGAUUUCAUAGACAUUUUUGGUUAAAUUAUGUUUGUGGCAAACCUAGCCACUUGGACAAUAUACAGAGACUAUGGCUUUAAGGGUUGCCUGUAUGGUUUUGGUGAGUAAUGUAAUGUGAUUGUAUAAUAUUGUAUUGCCUGCAUUGGCUAUCUGUCGAAAGCAGAUAGCUGUAUUUCAUUUCGUUUCACGAACAGCACCUUUGCGGGCUGUUCGUGAACCGAAUAGACCAACCUGUAAUAUCCCACACAUUAAGAGACGUGUGGCGCUUGUUAACCGAUUGCAACAAUGUUGCAAUCGUUAAUUAGAGGCUGUCCUAGGUGGCCGUCGUUCGGCUACCAACCACGCGGCGGUCGGCCAUCUUGGAUCCUUUGUUCAUCCAGCAGUGUUCGGUCGUCGAGCGCGUGGUACUGAAAACGGCUACUCGACGGUGCGAACCCCACUGGACUUCCAGGCCGUUCGGGAGUUACGGGACUUUCGGUAAUUUACUCCCUGUAUGUCAAUCAGUCGUUUGAACGUAAAUGUUGGUGAAUACGUUUUUCGUGCGGCGUUCGGUUGUUUUAGCUGGGAUCUGAGCGGUAAUCUCACGAAUUGUGUGCGCAGACCCCAGUUAUCUACCGAACGUCCAUUCGUGAAAAUCACCCCAAUAUUGGGGAAGUUAUAAAUUUUUAUGUGAAUUGUCGGUUCUGCUGCACGGAGGGAUAAUUCACUUAACUGUACAAUCCAGUGGGAGUGUCCCUCUCGUGCAGCAGUGCCUGAUGGGAGAACGGCUCUGUACAUUAUGUACAUUCCUAUUUAGUCCACUCCUGUAAUACCCCUGUGAUGUGACUCAGGAAACCUCUUGCAUGGGGAAUUGUAUAAAUUCUGGAGCCUGUGAAUAAAGCCUCAGUUGACUCCCAGAACUGGGUUUCGACCGGUUACUGGGGGAUUUGGGAUAUUGUCUUACUUUUCAGCGCUGACUGUGGAUUACUGUAUGUACCAGCGGAAUUCGUGGGUUUUAAUAUUGCCGGUCCGCUACAGUGUUUUGUCAAUUUUUCAUCUAAUCUGGACCAACGACUCCCCAUUUUACAAUUUCCCAGUGGUGGCAGGUUUUAUAACCCUGCUCCCUUUUUUUCUCAAAGCAUCUGGAAAGACUUGUCUUUACCCAUCUGACUUGCUUCCUCAAUUCCAACUCUCUCCUUGACCCUCUUCCGUCUGGAUUCCGCCCCCUGAUUAAAGUUAAAAAUGAUCUAAUUGGGGGGCGUGUCUGGCACCUGGAGAACACAGCCGCUUAAUCACUGAGCUCCCCGCUUGGGGAAGGGGACUAACUGCACAACGCUCCUAGUAAUCAAAAGGUGGUAUGCCAUACAGAUAGCAAGCUUGCUCUACGUACCACAUGGGAGGAACCCAACCACUUUGGGGUGGGAGAAUGGGAUGCAGGACAUGCUUUUACAGCAAUGGUGGACUCGGGGACCAUAUGGGGAUCUAUAUGUACCCUUACUCCCACCCACACCCUAGACGGCGAGACCACUAUCCCUAACCAAAAAAACAUAUAUACAUAUACCUAGCAGUUAGAUAAUAGGUUGGGGGAUUGUACCUAGCUCCGAGAGGGGAGACACUACACAUGGCCACUCGCCCCUCACCUCACCAGGUCACUAUGAUACCAAGGGCAGGCCAGGGGGAAACUGGCACAGAGAGGCACAAGCUGAAUCAUUGUCUUUAGCAAUCGGCUAAUACGCCGCAAAGGUUGAUGUCAAAUUGCCACCAACACUGUACACAAUGAACCAGGACUGAAUGCUUGCAUGACACGCCAUCACUUUGUUAUGCACCUGCACAACAGACUCCCUUAUUGCAAAGCAACUAGAACUGGGGGGAAAGAGGUACAACCCAACGUUACAGAGAGAUAGGCUAGGAUUCCCAAACCUGGAACCCCGCCCACUGCGCAGCCAGCCCGUGGACAAACGCCUAUACUGAGAUAAACACCCCUGGGAUCCCCAGAUUUAGUGGACCCCCCCGGGGCCCACUUCGGCCCUCACCACUCAACCCACCUAUCCAUAUAACUGAGCUAGAGCUCGCUACCCAGACCAAACAAACAGACACAUUUUAAAACCCCAUCGUCCAUCACAGGAGUACCCCGAGAGUUAGACACAGAAACCGCCGAGGCAGGCAGAACCACGUCCGAAUAGACCCAUCCACAGCUAUAAGAAUGACCACUCACAACAGACAACCCACACAUGCACCGCAGCGAGAGGUGUAGCAGACACACUGGAUCCCAAGGCCACAUUGGAGACAGGUACUCCCAUACCACACUAAUAUAGAGACACACUAAUAUAACGCACCCCUACUAAAUAGUAGGUAGAGCGAGAUGCUAUAAGGCAGGACUCACCACCCUAGACUGGCAACCCGCUGCCCCCACAGGGACAGGACAUAGCUAUCCCCCACUAGGGGGGUGAGACUCCAACCCCGGAGUAGACCCAGCUGGAGCGAGGAGCCUGACUACCAGGAAACUUGUACGUUAACCUAUACCCGAUCCGGGUUCAGACAGAGCAGCACGAACCACUGUCGGCUUGGUUCCGCACCCAGAUACAGCCACAGCAAUGACACAUUGCACACAUAUAAUCACCCCAUAGCCAUACAACCCCCCCUCCCACCUCAGACCGCACAGCCCUCUCUGGUCGCUCCCCGGGGUAGUGCCGAUUCGCCCGGGAGGAUCUGUCAAUCAUCUCAUACAACGUCAAUGGCCUAAACAUCCGGGAGAAGCGCUCCAGACUCCUAUGGUACCUUAAACACUUCCAUAGCGUUCCUCCAGGAAACACACUUCCAAGAAGGACGAGCGCCGGUCCUGAAAGAUCGCAACUUUCAGACGGGAUACUUUAGCAAUAACUCAGACCAACGCACACUAGGGAUAGGCAUCCUAUUCUCUACACGGAUCCCAUACAUAGAACACACCACCAUCAGCUGCAAACAAGGCAGAUAUGUCUUCACAAAAGGCACCAUCCUGGAUCAGACCUACACCUUCGCCAAUCUUUAUGCCGCAAACUCGGAACAACACCGCUUCCUCUGCAGCGUGCUUAAUACACUGAUGAAAUUCACGGAAGGCACCCUGAUCAUCGGGGGAGACCUGAACUUGGCUCUACAUCCCAAGCAAGACUCGACAGCCAGGCAAGGAAACACACCCAACAACAGAAAUGCCAAUACGCUCCGCCUCCUCCACCACCACCAACUCGCGGAAUGUUGGCGAGCGCUACACGCAUCGGCUCGCAACUACACCUUCUACUCCACGACACACUCCUCAUCCACCAGACUAGACUACUUCCUCGUGCCCCACCACAACCUCAUUCUACUUAAAGACUCAGAAAUCCUACCCAUGACAUGGUCAGACCACUGCCCAAUCCGCAUACGAAUAAAGUCACCCCUGUUCCGACCCAGAUGAACCUCUUGGAGACUGAAUGAGUCGAUCCUCUCGGAUGCACUGGAAGUGGACAAGACCAGACAGUCCAUUCAAGAAUAUUGCACAGACAACGAAUUAGGAGAUAUUUCGCCCUUGAUGUGCUGGGAGGCACACAAGGAGGUGAUCCGGGGACAACUUAUCACAAUAUGCUCCACCCGUAAGCGGGAAGCAAUACAGGCAACAACGGACCUCAGCAGGGAGAUUGCAACCCUGUAAACCAGACAGAAACGCACCUUGGACGCGAUGAUUUACAGAGACCUGGUCAUCAAACGGAAUCAACUCACCACACUCCUGAACUGCUCGAUACAAAGCUCAUACCAACACUUCAAGCACAUAAUACACGAGCACGUGAACAAAUGCGGGAGAUUACUGCCGAAUCUCCUAAAACAACGCAAGUCCCAACUGUACACCAGGCUCGAAGAGAUCCAGAGAUACCUGGAAUCCGCGAACGUGACCAGGCUCAAAGACACUGACCGGGAAGGACUGGAAGUGCCCAUCUCUACCGAGGAACUGAUGCAUGCUAUCAAAAGAGCAAAGACGGGCAGGGCACCAGGCCCAGAUGGCUUUCCCCUCUCAUACUACAAGACCUUCCCCCAAGACCUCCUCCCCAAACUGCAAACAGCCCUCAAUUCUAUCCUGGAAGGGGCCACACCAACAGCCCAGUUCACAUUGGCGAAUAUCACCCUUCUCCCCAAGGAAGGAAAGGACCCAACACAAUGCCCAAGCUACCCCCAAUCUCCGUGCUGAACACUGAUCUCAAACUCCUGGUCAGUGUCCUGGCGGCGUGCCUAGCACCACUGCUACCAAAGACAGUGCACCCGGACCAAACGGCAUUCAUCCCAGGGAGAGAGGUAUGGGACAACACCAUCAGAGCCCUGAACAUCAUAGCCCAGUCCAGAUCGAUGAAGACCUCAGUCCUUCUCCUGUCCACAGACGCAGAAAAAGCGUUCGACAGGGUGGACUGGGACCUGAUGUUUGGUGCACUUCGGAACCUCGGCAUUGGACCAAAAUACCUCGCCUGGGUAAAGGCACUAUACACACACCCAACCGCCGCAUUGGGAUCAACGGAGCACUGACUGACCCGUUCCAGAUCCAUAAUGGAACCAGGCAGGGCUGCCCGCUAUCGCAGCUGCUCUUUGCACUGACCUUAGAACCCUUCCUUAACAAAAUCAGACAUAACAACAUACAAGGGAUGAAAAUCGAAAGACCCACCACAAAACCUUGGCCUACGCAGACGACCUCCUAUUUAUAGUCACGGCCCCUGGUGCCUCUUUAUGGGCUAUCUUGUCGGAAUUCGAGUCCUACGGCCAGGUUUCGAACCGCCAAAUUAAUUACUCGAAGUCAGAAAUACUGGGUUUCUCCAUCAAUAAUACGCUCAGACAGACGCUCCAGUGUCAAUACCCAUACCGCUGGUGCGACCAAUGCAUGAGAUACCUGGGGUUCUGGCUUACACCAAACCCGGCAGACCUUUACACCCACAACUACCUCCCUACACUGAAAAAGGCGAUAGAAGAACUACGCACGUGGAAUUCAUACUACAUCUCCUGGCUGGGCAGGGUGAAUGCAGUCAAGAUGACGCUGCUGCCUAAACUCCUCUUCAUAUUCCAGAGAGUGCCGAUCCUGCCCCAGACUCAUUCUUCUCCACCCUGAAGACAGAGGUCCGCAAAUUUGUAUGGAAAGGCAGGUCCCCACGCAUAGCACAUUCCCAACUGACGCUGCCUAAACCCGGGGAGGCCUAGCGCUCCCUGACUUAGAGAAGUACUACGACGCGGCACACCUUACCAGGGUCAUAAGCUGGUCAGCGAAUAAACAAGAAUGGAAUACAGCUGAAAACAAAAAAAUACAUAACACAUAGUGAAGUACAAUUAGAGCAAUUGGAUAUAACCCCCAAUGGUUGCACUCACGAAAUAAUGUAGAGUAGUGCUGGUCAGUAGAGGGCAGCACGAUACUAUGGACCCAGCUGGAAUCAGAUAUCACCAACUGUGACUUAAGGACCUUGCCGUGGAUCACCAAAGCCACAUACAGACACAAACAUGUACUUAACCCAUUCGUAACAACAACCAUGCAGAUCUGGCACAGACAAGGCACGAAACAAUACUUAACAACAGACCCAGGCCCACUACUUCCAUUGAGAAGCAACCCAGAUUUCCUGGCGGGGGACCAGGGCCCAAUCCUGGGCCUGGCCAGGUACAUACCAACCCUGCGCAUAAAAGACAUAAUUCAGCACCCGUUCGCCAUCCGCCCGAUGACCGAACUCUUUCCUGACCAACCUCACACGUGCGCUGUGCACACAAGACCAAGAACCAACCCGGGCCAUAUCACAGAUAUAUUGGGCCAUCAUAACGAACAGAAACCUACUGGCACCCACAUGCAUCAGACACUGGGAGGAGGACCUGGAUGAGCCCAUGACAGGCUUCUCAACACAGCCAUGGCAACCAUCCCCAUCUUCUGGAGACAGACGUGUAUGCCGCCCGUGAGACGAUGGGUGGAGGAGGUGGAGGACAUGAGGAGGUUCGAGGACAUGAAAGCGACCACCCCAAAACACAGAGACAACUACAUAAAACGCUGGUUCCACUGGACACGCAGCCUCACCUUGGACGACUUUUUACAACACAUCACUGAACCAUGAGCAGGAACGCAAGGGGAGACGAGGCGGGGCCCCCGGGAAUGGCGGACUGGAGUGUCAGGGGUCGGCGCAGCCCCGCCGACCCACGAGACCCCCCCCCUCCACUCCUCACCCCGCACGGAACACCACAUACAGAUCAAGGACCACGAACACCAACAAUGACCUGGACACAUCAACAUACUACCCUAAUUGCACACAAACAGAACCCGGGGCACUGAGCCAGGGGACCACACACCGCCAAAUGACACCAAACACGCCACCACUACCACGAAACGUAAAAUCAAGACUCAUGGACACCCACGACACCACACACAACCCAAUCACUACCUAAAAAUACGAUCCAGAUAGGGUAGCCCACAUAACCACAAUAAACCGGGAUGGAACAAGGCUCAGUGGGUCAUAGAGAAGCGCCCCAUUUUAUAGACCAGGGGGAACCAACACAAAAUAAACCCACCCCAGCUACUCUGACUCCUCACACUGGGGAAAAGCAGACAUACGACAAGCAAACAGGCAACUACAACACCACCAGUAGGACUACACCCACACCGAGACACUCGACUAACUACCAGCCGACAUUAACCAUAGCCACCGAGUCACGGACAAACAGAGAAUACACAUAAACAUAUGAGCACCAGCCAACUACAAUGCACCCUAUAUAAGAACUCACAGAUAUGACCACAAAACCCGCAUGCCAUAUGAUAAGUACCCACCAGCAGGGCUCUGACCCGACAUGCUGUAGGUGCCGACAACCACAGAUACUGAGUUAACUAAACCGACAAGCAACACACCAGGACAUACAGCGCGGCAACAACUCAGAUCGCCCGGGCUAACCCUGACGAAGAAUCACCUUAGAAGGUAACAGCACCCUAGAUGACCCAACUACACACACGGGUCACCCCUCAACAAGAUCAAGCUCAUAUGACCAAGCACCCAACGACUAGAACACUCUGAGCUCACACACUUAACACUAUAACCCAUUCGCACGCCACGCGCUGAACUAUACACGGUGUCACGUGCGUGGGCUAUAGGCCCAGCCGAGGUAGUGGGGAGAGUGUGGAAGUGACAGGGUUAAUGACACCAGACACAAGCAACCACUCAAUUAACCCCUGCAAUCCCUUCUACACUAACACCCUUAGUACAUACUCUACUGCCACCACCAAGACUUUUAAACCCGGGCGUCUUAGGUUACCCCACACACAGGAGAAUUAUAGAAUCACAGUUCUACUUUUACUGAUAAAACAUAUAUAGUUAACCCUUUUUGGUAAUGUGUUUACCUGAGCUUUUCUCUGGAGAGUGAAGCUCAUAGAGAACAGAGACACAAGCUGAUUAAGUAAACAUUUAAUCUGACAAAAAGGAUUCACAGUGCUGAGUACAAAAUACAGAAAUAAAUGACAUACAGAUAACAAAUUGCAAAACAGUACAUAAAAUAAAAUAGGAGAAAACACAAGAAAUUCCUUACAUAUAUUUACACCAUAUAGAAUUCUUGUGGGAGUCUUAGAUGGUAUAGGUCUCCUAGAAGUUACUGACAAAAGAAAAAUGAAUAACUGACUUCCCUGGAUAGUCCAACACCCUCAUAUAUCUAAACUAGUUCUUUCUCAGUGGGCAGACCCCUGGGGGGGGAUCAGAGGGGGCUGGUCUGGCAGUCUAUUGCCCACUCUAUGAAAUUCCUUGUGUCCAGCUCUGGUGAUGGCUAUCUAGAUGUUUUAUGGUCUAGGCCUGGUGCAAGAUCAAAGACCACAAUAAAUGUCAUCCCAAGGUUUACAAAAAAAACAACUCUUAACAUAUAUAAACACACAUCAAACACCAACUCAUGCUUUUGGCAUGACACACGGUUACAUACGUUUUGUUCCUUUUAGUUAGUAGAAAUAGACCUCCAUCGAAAGCAACCAGGUUAUUGCACGGGUAACACAUACAACUCUAUGGAAAUGCAAAGUAAUGCCUUAUAUAGCCACUGUAUAGGCACAUAUGCUAAUGCCCUUGCUAAACGAGCAGAGCCUCUGCGUAGGCAAUGAUGCAGAAACAGUUUGAACAUGUUAUGUGUGCGCUAAAACUAUGCCUACAAAAUAAAAACCAUUUAACACAAAUGAUCUAAUUGCGGCUAAAUCCAAAGGCCACUACUCUAUACUAAUCCUUGUUGACCUCUCUGCUGCAUAUGACACUGUAGAUCAUAGCCUCCUUCUCCCAACCCUGCAAUCUCCUGGUCUCUGUGACACAGCCCUCUCGUGGUUCUCCUCCAUUCUCCUUAAACCCAUGUUUAUUAGUAUAACAUCCACUAAUAUCCAAAGCCAUGUUUAGCUCAAACAUAUGAGUAUACUUGAAGGAUGUGUGUUUCACGAAGGCCAUCAUCCUUGCUCCCAUCCAGAAAUGAGAAAAGAAGCAGUCAUGGUUGUAUUUCUUCUAUCAGCAGAAGACAGACAGCAAGGAGUUGCCAAAACUUGGAAUUACACCCAUUAAGUAUAGUUAAUAAUUUAGAACGUUAUCUUUACUGUUGUAAUGUUUCAGGUAGAAAACUGUCUAGUGUCAGCCAUGAAAAGUAGGCAAUGUCUUUGUCUUUGCUUCUUAUUAUAAUACGAGUUAAUUCACAUGUAGUGCUAAAGACCAUGCCUUUCUGGAACACAAUGCGUAGGGAGCACGAGUGAUGUGGAAGGUGGCAUAGACACUUUGAUAACCACUGUUCUAUAGUUACCUUCACAGCAGAAACAAGAACUGAUGGCGAUGACCAAGUCAAUUGUCAGGUUUCAAAACUGACAUGUAAGACUUUUUCGUUUAUUACUGGCCCUUUAAGUGAACUUCAUGAUUUUCUCCUCUAGUGGCCUCCCUAGCCACUAAUCUAUUAACUCACCUUAAUAACCUCACCUGGAUUAACUAAUUAGGAGGCUUGACAUUGAAAGUCUAUGCUCUGAUAAAGAAUCUCUGUUCCUGGUAAUAUCCUGUAUUUUAUCUACAUUAUUUCAUUCUGCAUUUCCUCAUACUGAAGGGCACUAACCUGCAUUACUUCAUUCUGAACUUGCCUGAAUUACAUCUUACUGAAAGACUUUCCUUAUCAGCUUCCAAGAAUCCUGAUUUGUGGCGUAUUGCCUUCAUUAAGGAAUCUUAACUGCUUCAAUUGCUGCAUCACUGCAUGAUCUCGUAAGCAACCUGCAUUAUAUUAUUUUGGAAUAUACCUACCUGUUUCAACCUCUGCAACUCUGCAUGAUCCUGUAUUGUCUUAUCCUAAAAGGUAUUUACCUAUAACUAGCUGCAUUGCAAAGUAUCCUGGAAAUCCUUAACUACUUGGUAUAACUUCAAGCCUGCUUGUAUACAAAAUACUUUAUUCAUUUACUUUCUAAAGAUCUUGUUUGUGGCAUAUCGCCUAAACCCUGUUUUUUCUCACAAAGUAUCCUGUUUGUGGCAAACUGCCCUUUAUUCUUUUUUUCAGUAAAUUUGUUAUGUCUAAUACGACAAAUAAAGUUUUAACCAAUAACCCUUGCAAUCGUCUCCUCUCUGACCUGCUCAGGAGCAUGACAUCAAUGGUUAAAUAACCUGCAACUCCGUUAUAAAUAGUACACAUCUGUUGC
rnacentral:lncRNA from 1 species